CAACUAACACACAAGUUUGACGCCAAAGUCUGUACAAAAAUAACACUAUGCAGAUAAGCCUGGUUCGUUUCAACCAUGGGAUUAGACAGCUUGUUUUCUUCCUAAAAAGUCCAAACUGCAUCAAGCUUCGGUUGGCGCCGGGUACCCGUCACAGUGGAGGGAGAACCAAGCAGCCUCCAGCACUAUGCAGACGACGGUUUUCGGACAUUUCCGAUGGCCGAAUGGCCUAAGAUACCACCCAAGCCUGACUCCAUUUUGAUGCCAGAGGAUGUCUGACCAAUUAUCAACCAGCGUCUGCCCCCACUGUAGGCGUUGACAUCCCUCAGACACCACUGAGCCUCCGGACUCGUGGUCCACAGGUUGAGGUAGUAGGUUGUAUAGUUCAGAGUGACAUCGCAGGAGAUAACUGUACAGCCUCCUAGCUUUCCCUGUGGACACACUCCAAUACAUCGGACGCAUAGUCGCAGAAAGCAAUGUUUUACUUUAAUGUACUUUCCCGUUUAUUUUACAUUUAUGAUGAUGUACAUUAGCGUGAUUGAUAGAUGGAAUGAUGAAAUGAUGCAAUUAACAUUUUUUUUGGUCGUUUUUUAAAUUAUUUAAAUUAAUUUAAAGUUGUCUUCUAACCCUCGGUGUCAUUCAUGUGGUCUGUCAUUUCAAAUAAAAGAUGGGAAGAAGAUUUUGGGAUUUUUAAAUUGUAUUUCUAUGUUAUGUAUUUUUAUGAAUGCAGUGAGAAGAGAAAAUACGAUAAAUAGAGUAGCAAAAAAUAAGCAUGCAGCUCUCAAAAGAAAAGUAAAAAGAGAAAUUUAAUAGUCUACACUGUGCAUGUAUUUAUGUGUUAUUUUUGCUACUAUGAGAUCAAACAAAACUCCUCAAAAACGCUACAAUUCAAGUUCACUACAUAGAAAAAAGGACCAAAAUAAAUAAAGAAAGAAAGAAAUACAGGAAGAAAGGAAGAGGAGGAGCAGAACAUAUGAAAGGACCACAGCCUACUGGAGCAGGGAGGACCGCCGGUUUAAUGACAGAGAUGCCAUCGAGGGGAAAGAUUGGACAUGGCAGCCAAUUACGUACAAAGUUCGCUUUCACUAAACCAAAAACUGUGUGUUUCCUCCACACAACUAUUCUUUAAAGAGACAUUUUGAUCACAGAUGCCAGUGGCUACUCUCGCUGCAUCAAGCUGACAGGAACUCACGUCACGCUGAAAUGUAUUAUGGGUAAUUGGGAUGGCCCACUGUGUACGAUACUGUUUAUGGCAGAUACUGACAUCUGAAAGGAUGUUUUAACGUUUAUCUUUUCUGCUGAUGUGGUCUCACUGUAAGUUGUGUGAUACUUUUGUAGUUGGAAAAAGGGCUGAGCUUCAGGCACCGGAUUUCAGCUUUGGUUUCACUCCUGUGCUUUUGAGUCCCUCCUGUGGACUCUGUAAAUAACUACCAGCUAGGUUCAGCAAUUUACAGUUUGUUUUUUUUGCAUCAUUUCAACUCGCUCAAAGGUAUUUUCAACAUGUAAAAAAAAAUUGCAAAAUAUGGGCAGUGCUUCCCAUUUCCCCCGGCCUUCACGGAGGUCAGACCGGGUUCCCCUCCCCACAUCUCCUCAGCCGCGUAGGCCCCGGCCCGAGCGCCGCUGGUCUACUCUAAACAGAGCGAGCAGGAGGAAGUGGAUGCUUUUGUGUGUGUUUCGGACACAGGGUUAGUAUUUGGAGCGGGGAGUUUGGGAGCGGGGUUGAAAUGUGGCGAGGUUGAGGGGCGCAGCGGGGCUGCGUUGUUGCAGUGUUAAGGGUGCAGUGUAGCAGGGUCGAGGUGUAGCGGGGUUGAGGUGUAGCGGGGUUGAGUUGUAGCGGGGUUGAGGUGUAGCAGGGUUGAGUUGUGACGGGGUUGAGGUGUAGCAGGGUUGAGUUGUGACGGUGUUGAGGUGUCAGGGGGUGGACGGUGUUCCCGGGAUUGACGGUGUAACGGCGUUGAGGUGUAGUGAAGUUGAAGGUGCAGCGGGGGUUGACGGUGUAGCGCGGUCGACGGCCCACCGCGGUCGACGGCCCACCGCGCUUGACGGUGUAUCAGGGAUUGAGGUGGGGGUUUGAGGCGGGACGGAGGGCCGUUGGGCCAUGAGGACGGAGCACACACCCGACAGACAGAAGAGGUCAUAGGUCACGACACACACUGGGCCACCGAGGCCAGAGUGGGUAUGGUCCUAUCAGUGAGUAUCUCGUUGAGCUCUUUUUCCGACGCAAUAGUGGGGGAGUGGUAAACAAAUAAAUCAGUGUUCCUUUCUCUCUCUCUCUUUCACCCUUGUUUGUCAUCGGUCAUAUGUAUGCCAGUUUGUCAACAGUGAUCUGUCACAUGCAAGUAAGUUCCUCAUUCAUCCAUCUCAAUGCACUGCUCCUCUGGGUGCUUGGGCGAGCCAAUGCACGCCUUACCUUGAUUCACUCAAGUGAAAUCCAGAACCAACUGAACUCUGGCCUGUUUUGCCCUGGGGUUCACCGGCCGGUUCACAGUGGUAUUUCUCUGUCGGUGGUGUAGGGCUGUUGGCGAGGGGAGAAUCAAAGGCAAAAUACUCUCCUCACAACGAGAGAAUUUGACUCUGAGCUGCAUGUGAUGUGACGAGCCAACGCGGCAUGUGAUGUCUGUGGCCAGAGAGACUGAGAGACAGUAAGAGAGAGAGAGAGAGAGAGAAUGAAACAUAGAGCUAUAGAGAGUGAUACAGAGAGAGGGUGAUACAGAGAGAGUAAUACAGAGAGAGAGAGAGAAAUUUCCUAUAAACAAACAGCCCAAUCUGCUGAGGAGAGGUGCAUUAAGGUGCAAUCACAGCAGUACGAUUUGUGACCUGAGGUAAAAUACAUUAGUGAGAGCUGAACGCCGCUGUAAACCUGAAGCCAAGGCGUUGGACUCUUCUAAUGGACGCCACGCGCGGUUCAUUUCUGUACACACACAACUGCACAAAUGUCAAUGUUUACCCAUACUGUGGUUAUUGCAUACGUGCGUGUUGCUCAGCCCCUGUGCGUUUAGCUAGGGUGUGUUCUUUUCCACAACAAUAUAGGCUAUUUCACCCUGUUUUCCUUUGAUAGAUAUCUUUUUGAUAUAUAUGUUAAUUAUGUUGUAUUAUUCAUGUACUAUGCCAGAAUCUUAACAAGAAAUUCCUCAUGCAUAUAUGUUUCAAAUAAGAAAACAGCCCUUUCAAAUGAAAUAACUAUGUUUAACUUUAAAUCACGCAUUAGAGUCUGAAACUCAACAAAAGGGACUUUUCUGGUAAAAAAAAGUCUGUACUUCUUCUUUAGUAAAUGUGUUUCCUAGUAUUUGUGCAACUUGUACCGAAAGAGAGAGUAAGGAGGGGAGACACAAAGAGUGAGAGAGAGAGGGAGGGAGGGAGAGAGAGAGAGAGAGAGAGAGAGAGAGAGAGAGAGAGAGAGAGAGAGAGAGAGAGAGAGAGAGAGAGAGAGAGGGAGUGAGAGACAGAGUGAGACAGAGAUAGAGGGACACAGGCGAAAGACAGAAAGCGAAAACGAGAGGCACCAGAGCAAGGCAGUGCUGCAUGCUGAGCAUAGGGGCUACAGUGCUCGGCCAAUGGAAUGUGGGCGUGAGGGGGGGGGGUCAUGUGACCGGGACAGGGAGAGAUGACUGGACCGGGUUUUUCCGGGUUAGGGUGGUGACGGUACGGUGACACGACGUCUCACAGAACAAUGGCGCAGGGCCACGGCCGAGGAGUAGGAAAUAGGACGAGGUGCGCCGAGCGGCAUGCCGAUCCUCUUUGUUAUCCCGGUAUUCCCAAAGUAAAGCCCCACAUUUCCUAAUUUCUUUGGUCCAUAAUGCAGAGCCACGCCAGUGAGCUCUGAGGACUCUGUUAGGCGCCGGGGAGCGGACAGGGAGGGAGGCUGCCUUGGGGGCACGUUCAUAAACACAUACAUGCAGAGCCACUGGAGCGUAGAGUGAAAAGGGACAGAUCUCUAUUAGCUCUGCAGGUGUGUGUGUGUGUGUCUGCGUGCGUUUGUGUUCGUGUGUGUGUGUGUGUGAGUAUAUGUUACCUUGUCUUCGUCCUGACAGGUGUGUGUGUGUGUGUGUGUUAUCUUGAGGGCGGCACAAAGUACUGGUGAGAGCGUACUUCUGAAAGCUCGGUACACUUGUGAUUGACCUCAUGCAAAUGCAGCAGUGUGUGUGUCGGACAUGCGUGCAUGCGUGUGUCUGUUUGUGUGCGUGACAGGGGAUGUUUGUGUCGCGGCAUGUGAGCUACUAAUGUAUUGUUUCAUUAUGGUAAUGUUGAGUCCGAAGACGUUUGUUAAUUAGCGAUGUUAUAUCCAGUGAUAUAUAUGAUGAUGUAUGCGGGAUAUAUAUUCACAAAGACAUGUCGCUGUGUUCUUGGGCACUCUGAAGGAACGGGGGGGCGAAUAGGAUUACAAAAAUGCUUCUUCUAAAUGAUUGGCUUUCCGUGAAUGGUUGAUUCAUAAUCACAAUUAGUCUCGGGCGACACGCUGUCACUUUUUACAAUAUUACCCCAGAUACGGUGUUUACCCUGCCCAGCACCCUCCUCACGACCCACACUGAUACACUGAUUAGUGUCAAUUACAUCUUCCUCCAUCAUUCAACUCCAUUUAAACCCACUGACGAACCCACCCUACCAGUAGGUGGUUGUCGGUGGGUGGGAGGGUGUCUGAGGAACCAAGGCAGGCCGACUGGGACUGUGUGGGACUGUGAGGAAGACGAGGAGAGAAUUUCAGCCGAUUUACUGCAGAACCUGCAAAUACACGUUGGCAUUGGAUCAGGUCUUCCCCCCCCCCCCCCCCCCCCAAACACACAGUCUUGUUCGGGCCAUGCGGUGGAUGCUCUCCUCUAGGGAGGUGACCUGAUGAGAUCGUGGAGUUUGUGUAGGACUCUGAAGCCCAUCUGCACGUGUCCUGGGCCGUCUCUACUCACUCCCCUCUGGACAUGGCUUUGAUACAGUCCUGAUUUGCCCUGCUGCUUCUUGGUUACCCGGCCACUUGUGUAGGCCCAGCCUCCAAGCCUCUCUCUCCCCCCUCUCUCCAACAGCCUCUCCCCCCAGCCCCUCUCCAACAGCCUCUCUCCAACAGCCUCUCUCCCAGCAGCCUCUCCCCCAGCCUCUCUCCAACAGCCUCUCUCCCCCAGCCUCUCUCCCCCAGCCUCUCUCCAACAGCCUCUCUCC
ensembl:lncRNA